rnacentral:rRNA from 1 species
UACGUAGGUGGCAAGCGUUAUCCGGAAUUAUUGGGCGUAAAGCGCGCGCAGGCGGUUUCUUAAGUCUGAUGUGAAAGCCCACGGCUCAACCGUGGAGGGUCAUUGGAAACUGGGGAACUUGAGUGCAGAAGAGAAAAGCGGAAUUCCACGUGUAGCGGUGAAAUGCGUAGAGAUGUGGAGGAACACCAGUGGCGAAGGCGGCUUUUUGGUCUGUAACUGACGCUGAGGCGCGAGAGCGUGGGGAGCAAACAGG